rnacentral:rRNA from 1 species
GACGAACGCUGGCGGCAGGCUUAACACAUGCAAGUCGAGCGCCCCGCAAGGGGAGCGGCAGACGGGUGAGUAACGCGUGGGAACGUACCCUUUGCUACGGAAUAGCUCCGGGAAACUGGAAUUAAUACCGUAUGUGCCCUUCGGGGGAAAGAUUUAUCGGCAAAGGAUCGGCCCGCGUUGGAUUAGCUAGUUGGUGGGGUAAAGGCCUACCAAGGCGACGAUCCAUAGCUGGUCUGAGAGGAUGAUCAGCCACAUUGGGACUGAGACACGGCCCAAACUCCUACGGGAGGCAGCAGUGGGGAAUAUUGGACAAUGGGCGCAAGACUGAUCCAGCCAUGCCGCGUGAGUGAUGAAGGCCCUAGGGUUGUAAAGCUCUUUCAGUAGGGAAGAUAAUGACGGUACCUACAGAAGAAGCCCCGGCUAACUUCGUGCCAGCCGCCGCCGUAACAC